UUAAGCGACUAAGCGUACACGGUGGAUGCCCUGGCAGUCAGAGGCGAUGAAGGACGUGCUAAUCUGCGAUAAGCGUCGGUAAGGUGAUAUGAACCGUUAUAACCGGCGAUUUCCGAAUGGGGAAACCCAGUGUGUUUCGACACACUAUCAUUAACUGAAUCCAUAGGUUAAUGAGGCGAACCGGGGGAACUGAAACAUCUAAGUACCCCGAGGAAAAGAAAUCAACCGAGAUUCCCCCAGUAGCGGCGAGCGAACGGGGAGGAGCCCAGAGCCUGAAUCAGUGUGUGUGUUAGUGGAAGCGUCUGGAAAGGCGCGCGAUACAGGGUGACAGCCCCGUACACAAAAAUGCACAUGCUGUGAGCUCGAUGAGUAGGGCGGGACACGUGGUAUCCUGUCUGAAUAUGGGGGGACCAUCCUCCAAGGCUAAAUACUCCUGACUGACCGAUAGUGAACCAGUACCGUGAGGGAAAGGCGAAAAGAACCCCGGCGAGGGGAGUGAAAAAGAACCUGAAACCGUGUACGUACAAGCAGUGGGAGCACGCUUAGGCGUGUGACUGCGUACCUUUUGUAUAAUGGGUCAGCGACUUAUAUUCUGUAGCAAGGUUAACCGAAUAGGGGAGCCGAAGGGAAACCGAGUCUUAACUGGGCGUUAAGUUGCAGGGUAUAGACCCGAAACCCGGUGAUCUAGCCAUGGGCAGGUUGAAGGUUGGGUAACACUAACUGGAGGACCGAACCGACUAAUGUUGAAAAAUUAGCGGAUGACUUGUGGCUGGGGGUGAAAGGCCAAUCAAACCGGGAGAUAGCUGGUUCUCCCCGAAAGCUAUUUAGGUAGCGCCUCGUGAAUUCAUCUCCGGGGGUAGAGCACUGUUUCGGCAAGGGGGUCAUCCCGACUUACCAACCCGAUGCAAACUGCGAAUACCGGAGAAUGUUAUCACGGGAGACACACGGCGGGUGCUAACGUCCGUCGUGAAGAGGGAAACAACCCAGACCGCCAGCUAAGGUCCCAAAGUCAUGGUUAAGUGGGAAACGAUGUGGGAAGGCCCAGACAGCCAGGAUGUUGGCUUAGAAGCAGCCAUCAUUUAAAGAAAGCGUAAUAGCUCACUGGUCGAGUCGGCCUGCGCGGAAGAUGUAACGGGGCUAAACCAUGCACCGAAGCUGCGGCAGCGACACUGUGUGUUGUUGGGUAGGGGAGCGUUCUGUAAGCCUGUGAAGGUGUACUGUGAGGUAUGCUGGAGGUAUCAGAAGUGCGAAUGCUGACAUAAGUAACGAUAAAGCGGGUGAAAAGCCCGCUCGCCGGAAGACCAAGGGUUCCUGUCCAACGUUAAUCGGGGCAGGGUGAGUCGACCCCUAAGGCGAGGCCGAAAGGCGUAGUCGAUGGGAAACAGGUUAAUAUUCCUGUACUUGGUGUUACUGCGAAGGGGGGACGGAGAAGGCUAUGUUGGCCGGGCGACGGUUGUCCCGGUUUAAGCGUGUAGGCUGGUUUUCCAGGCAAAUCCGGAAAAUCAAGGCUGAGGCGUGAUGACGAGGCACUACGGUGCUGAAGCAACAAAUGCCCUGCUUCCAGGAAAAGCCUCUAAGCAUCAGGUAACAUCAAAUCGUACCCCAAACCGACACAGGUGGUCAGGUAGAGAAUACCAAGGCGCUUGAGAGAACUCGGGUGAAGGAACUAGGCAAAAUGGUGCCGUAACUUCGGGAGAAGGCACGCUGAUAUGUAGGUGAAGCGACUUGCUCGUGGAGCUGAAAUCAGUCGAAGAUACCAGCUGGCUGCAACUGUUUAUUAAAAACACAGCACUGUGCAAACACGAAAGUGGACGUAUACGGUGUGACGCCUGCCCGGUGCCGGAAGGUUAAUUGAUGGGGUUAGCGCAAGCGAAGCUCUUGAUCGAAGCCCCGGUAAACGGCGGCCGUAACUAUAACGGUCCUAAGGUAGCGAAAUUCCUUGUCGGGUAAGUUCCGACCUGCACGAAUGGCGUAAUGAUGGCCAGGCUGUCUCCACCCGAGACUCAGUGAAAUUGAACUCGCUGUGAAGAUGCAGUGUACCCGCGGCAAGACGGAAAGACCCCGUGAACCUUUACUAUAGCUUGACACUGAACAUUGAGCCUUGAUGUGUAGGAUAGGUGGGAGGCUU
rnacentral:rRNA from 1 species